rnacentral:rRNA from 1 species
AACGAACGCUGGCGGCAGGCCUAACACAUGCAAGUCGAGCGAAGCCUUCGGGCUUAGCGGCGGACGGGUGAGUAACGCGUGGGAACGUGCCCUUUGGUACGGAAUAGCCCCGGGAAACUGGGAGUAAUACCGUAUGUGGUCGAGAGACGAAAGAUUUAUCGCCAAAGGAUCGGCCCGCGUUGGAUGAGGUAGUUGGUGGGGUAAUGGCCUACCAAGCCGACGAUCCAUAGCUGGUUUGAGAGGAUGAUCAGCCACACUGGGACUGAGACACGGCCCAGACUCCUACAGGAGGCAGCAGUGGGGAAUCUUAGACAAUGGGGGAAACCCUGAUCUAGCCAUGCCGCGUGAUCGAUGAAGGCCUUAGGGUUGUAAAGAUCUUUCAGUGGGGAAGAUAAUGACUGUACCCACAGAAGAAGCCCCGGCUAACUCCGUGCCAGCCGCCGCGGUAAAAC